rnacentral:lncRNA from 1 species
UCCAUAAUUUCUAUUUUGUUUGCUUAGGCAGCGCAAAGAAGAGGCUGUGCAAUUCUUUUUGCAUGGUCGAAGGACAUAUGUAACCACUUCUGGUUUUGCGCGAAGUCUGCUGCAACAUAUGAUGAGUUCUUUGUAAGUCUGCUGUUCUAUUAUUAUUAUUAUUAUUAUUGCAAAUUUGUACUGACUGCUAUGUUGCAUUACUUAGACUGUAUUACAUGGUUCUGUUUCUGUAGGAAAUGUGGACAGGGGUUCUUCACCAUGUCACUGGAGAACAUGAAUGGGUUCUCGGCGCAUGUCAUCAUGGUCCGUUGUUAGAAGACAGAGACAAAGCUUGGAUUACCAAAGGAUCAGUGGCACAUGAAGCACUGAUUGCCAUCGUUCUGAAUGUGAGGUGGCUAAAAGAGGUUGAGAAGUUUCUCUGUUUUAGAUCCACUGCUGAGCUGGAAUCUUUUCACAAUCACAUUCUUAUGUAUGCUGGAAAAAGAUUCUACUUUGUUUGGCCAGUCUACAGAGCACGGACGCACCUGGCUGGUUUGGAUUACAAUCACCAUGUUCACAGACCACUCAAAAGAAAUGCUGACGGCUCAUUGGAGUACAAGUUUCUUUUUAAUAAGAAGUCACGCCGGUGGAGUAUGUACCCUGUGAAAGAGGAAAAGGAUUAUGGGUACAUUCCAGAUCUCCAGAGAGCCAUCCUCUUGUGCCGGGUUUCUUCAGGGAAAGGCAUGCCAGCGAAGAGGAGACUGAGACCAGAUGACCCACGGCGGUUAGGACUUCUCCCUGGAGUUCCACGUCCAACCAACGAGGAGUUGUUACAAACCCAACUCAGCCGCGGCCUUGGUA